CCCUAAAAUGGAAUAUUAUGUGGCGUUAAAAAAGAGAGAGAGAGAAAGAGAGGAGAAGCAAGAAAAAGAGAAAGCUUUCUACAUUCAAACUAAUAGUAGAAAACUCUCCAAGAUACAAUUUUAAAGAAAAAAAAAUCAAAGUCGAGAAAACUAUAGAGGAGGCUGCCUUUAGUGUAAGACAGUUGAAAAUUAUAAAUAUAUUCAUAUGUUUAUAAAGAAAUUUUAGGAGGCUAUAAAAAAACAAAACAAAGGGAAAGAGGAACAGGAGCUGGGACAUAGGUGAGCAAGAUGCAUGGCAGGCAUAUGUCUUCAUCUUCUUAUGCUUUUAUUUAAAAAUGUUGGACCACGUGUACAUGUUAUCUAUUUUAAAAAUUAGAUUUUAAAAUACAAGCAAGAAAACAAGAAAAUGAAAGCAUAAAAAGAGCAUGUGGAACUACCAGUAAAAGAUACUAAUCCAUGGAGAUAAUGGCAAGGUAGCUCCUAGAUGCACUGAUUUCUCUACCACACUGUAUAAACAAGCCAUCAACUAUGCGAUUUGUAAUUAAAAAUGAGUCUAUUUGAAACACCACAUUAUAAAAAGCUAUUAAGUAAAUCUUCAAAGUGACAGUAAAUGAUGACUUAACAUUUUAAAGAGAUACAGUCACAUCGCAUGUGUGAAUGCAGUCAUCUGUAUAAAAUGUCAUCAUUACCUUCAUCAUUUCUUCUUCUCCUGCUGUUUUACUUUUUGCUUCUAUGUCCCCUGCUUCAUUGCAUCUAAUAAAGCAGCUAUUUGAGGCCAACAAAUCCAUUUUCCCCUAAGUGAAACAAAAUAACAAAAUAGCCAUGAGGAUACUUCUUGUAGAAGAAAUAUUAAGUGUUUAGACUGAAUGAAUUUUUCCUCCCUGAUUUAAAAAUCACAGAAAAGAACUUAGAGAAAAACCUGAAAAAUGUAAUACAAGAACAUAUAGAAAAGGAAACCAAAAUCACCUUUCAUUUUGCUUUCAAAGAUUGCCACAAUAAAUAUUUGUAGUGUAUCUUCCUAGUAGGACUAAACUCUAAUUAGAUGAGGUAGGAUUGCUUCCUUUCUAAAAGAUCUACUGAAGAUAAAACUGAUUUAGUUCUGUUUGAAAAAUUAACUUUAAAGACAAGAACAUAAUUAUGAAUGCAUACUUUAUUCAAAUAUUAGCAUUUUAAGUAAAAUUUAUUUUCUUCACAAUUAGAAAACAUGAAAAGGCAUAUACAAUGCCUUUGGUGUUUUGAAUUUAAGAAUCAAUGUCUGAGGGACUUUUGUGUGUGAAAAUAAAUAUUCAUGGCCGGGCGCGGUGGCUCACGCCUGUAAUCCUAGCACUUUGGGAGGCCGAGGCGGGUGGAUCACGAGGUCAGGAGAUCGAGACCAUCCUGGCUAACAUGGUGAAACCCCGUCUCUACUAAAAAUACAAAAAAUUAGCCGGGUGUGGUGGCGGGCACCUGUAGUCCCAGCUACUCGGGAGGCUGAGGCAAGAGAAUGGCAUGAACCAGGGAGGCAGAGCUUGCAGUGAGCCGAGAUCGUGCCACUGCACUCCAGCCUGGGCGACAGAGCCAGACUCUGCUUAAAAAAUAAAUAAAUAAAUAAAUAUUCAUACACAUUUUUCGUUGUUUAAUGUUUGAUGUAUUACACUGCUUUCUAUUAAACAAAACUUUAAAAACUGAUUUUCUUGUGUAUCUAAAUCUGGGUUAUAAAUUUGGUUAGCUUAACUCCCGUAACAAAUAUAGUGUUUAUUUAUAACUUGUAUUUGGUUGAUUCUUUUGGAAAACUUGGAAUACAAUAACAUUUAGACAAAAUAUUUAUAAAUACAAUGAUUACAAAAUAUGUUAACCUUAUAUCACAUCCAGUUAAAAACGUGCUGAUAAUAUGGAUUUAAUUUCUUAGUCAAGUCACAAGGGCUGGGUGGUCUCUCAUCUCGAUGGCUCCCGGUGAGCCCUGGAACAUGGCGGUGUGGUCCAAGGCGAUUUAAACCUGUGCCGCAGAUUAUUCAGCUGAGUCCUUUUUGCAAUAGAGAUUUAAGACCCUCUUUCAUUUAAAUUUAAAUUUUUGAAACUUAGUGUCAAAUGCUAAAAUAUCAUUGGAACAUUACUUUAGAUUAGAAAAUAUUUUAUUAAUAAUUCAGACAGAGUGUGAUAUGGUUUGGCUGUGUCCCCCCCAAAUCUCAUCUUGAAUUGUAGUUCCCAUAAUCCCCACAUGUUACCCAGUGGGAGGUAAUUGAAUCAUGGGGGCGGUUAGCCCAUGCUGCUAUUCUCAUGAUAGUGAGUGAGUUCUCAUGAGAUCUGAUGGUUUUAUCCAGGACUUUUCCCCCUUUUGCUCAGCACCUCUCCUUGCUGCUGCCAUGUGAAGAAGGAUGUGUUUGCUUCCCGUUCCGCCAUGAUUGUAAGUUUCCUGAGGCCUCCCCGAACUAUGAGUCAAUUAAAUCUCUUUCGUUUAUAAAUAGCCGAGCACUGUGAGAAUGGACUAAUAAAUACGAGUGUCUUAAUCCAUUUUGCAUUGUUAUAAAGGAAUAUCUGAGGCUGGGUAAUUUAAUAAAAUAAGACAUUUAUUUGACUCACGGUUCUUCAGGCUCUGCAAGAAGCAUGGCACCAGCAUCUGCUUCUGGUGAGGACCUCAUGAAGUUUCUAACCAUGGGGGGAGGCCAAGAGAGAGCAGGCAUGUCACAUGGCAAGGGAGGGAGCAAGAGAGAGGGGAGGAGUGCCAUGCUCUUUUAGGCAGCCAGAUCCCACAGGAACUAAGAGUGAGAAUUCACUCAAUCCUAACAUAAUGACACCAAGCAACUCAUGAGGGAUCUGCCCCCCUGACCCAAACACCUCCAACUAGGCCCCACCUCCCACAUUAGGGAUGAAAUUUCAACAUGAUAUUUGGAGGGAACUAAUAUCCAAACUAUGUCAUAGAGGUAUGUGUGUAACCUCAUUCAUUUAUGCAUUCAUUCAACAAAAUAUGUAGUGAGCACCUGCUAUGUGCCAGGCACUGUGCUAGGCUGUAGAUAUGACUCAUAAAUAAGAUUAAUAUUGCCACAGUCCUUAGGAGCCUAGUGUAGUUGGGGAGUAAAUAAGCAAACAGAUAAUUUCUAUACCUGGUAAUUACUACCUUGAUAGGGCAAAGAGGAUUCUGUUUGUGCUGUAAAAGCACAUGAAAAGUACAAAGUCAAUCCUUGGGAGGUCAUGGAAUCUUUCCUAGGAAAUGAUAUAUAAGGUGGAUAAAAAGGUAACCAGAUACAGAUGAGAAGAGAAGGUGGGCCAGAAAUUUUGAAAUACUGAACCAACUGGAUGUCAUUCACUGACAUAGGGUAAUAGUAUAGAUGACUGGAUUGGAAAAUGAAAAAGGAACUAAAAGUAAUUAAAUGAGCUGCAGACAUGAAAAUGAACACUUGGGAAGUCCUGGCAGGAAGUCAUCAAUAAGACAACAUAAUGAAGUGGAAAGUGGUUGGGAGUAAGGCUGACUUGGAUUCAAACCCUAGUUUCACCACUUAAUAGACGUGUUAAGUUGAACAAAUCCUUUAACUUUUCAGAGCCUCAAUUUUCCUCUUUGUAAAAUACAGAUAAUAACAUGGACACUAUAAGGGUUUUGUUGUUGUUGUUGUUGUUUUGAGACGGAGUCUUGCUCUGUUGCCCAGGCUGGAGUGCAGUGCCUCGAUCUUGGCUCACUGCAACCUCUGCCUCCUGGGUUCAAGCGAUUCUCCUGCCUCAGCUUCCAGAGUAGCUGGGACUACAGGCGCACGCCACCAUGCCUGGCUAAUUUUUGUAUUUUUUGUAGAGACGGGGUUUCACCAUAUUGGCCAGGCUGGUCUCGAACUCCUGAUCUCAGAUGAUCCGCCUGCCUUGGCCUCCCAAAGUGCUGGGAUUACAGGCGUGAGCCACCGCACCUGGCCCAGACACUGUAAGUUUUGGGGAGGAUUAAAUGGGAUCAUCCAUGUAAAUGCGCCUAUCCCAGUCUCUAGCACACACUGAACACUCAAAAAUGGGAGGUUUUGGUAUUUCAGAAGAAAAUCAGGUGUCGGGGAGUGUUAGUAGUAACCUUGAACUAUAUGCAAAGACUAAAGCUAGGAAGAUAGGAAGAGUUUUACAAGAUCCUUUUGGCUAUAUAGUUAAAGUUAUUAGCAGUUAGAGUUUCCCUUACAGUUGACAAGUGAACCAUACAAGUGAAUGACUUGUGGUUCCUCAGAUAAAAGCACGAGUCAGAGUUGUAAUUUCUGUUUUGUGGACGUAAUUGUUGACCAAGUGCACUGAAGGUAGGGAUGGCCAGUAACAAAAUUAUAAAGCAGGCCUGUUUGUCUUCAAACACUCCUGAGUAAACUUGUCAUUUCCUUGUAAAAAUGCAAAAUAGACUACUGAGUAGAGGUGAUCAAUUACAGAAAUGCACUUACUUUGGCUUUCUUCUGAAACCUAAUAAAAUGACAGUAAAGGGAUUAUUUUUUUAAGGCAGAAACCCACAAUGAUGAUGAAAUUAGAAAGGAAGACAAGAACAACAAGGUUGUGGAAUUCAGAAGCCAUAUAGACAAGAGGUAACACACCUGAGAAAGAUGAUCCCUAAAUUUGUCUUGGAGAAAACUCAGAAGUACCUGACUACAUCAUAGACCUCCCAAACAGCUUCCAAAUGUCAGAUACCACUGAAAAUGGGGAUAAAGGUAGGGUCAAAAAUAGGAGGAUUGGGUUAUAAGUCUGUAUAAGAAGUUGUUAGAUCCCUACAUCCUCUCUUCAAACCUGUAUAGCCAGAUAAUGGUCCCUCUCCCAGCCUGGCAGAGGCUGGAAAAGGUAAAUAGAGAAACUUACUUCCUGGAGAACAUUUGGCACAUUUGGGGAUGGAGUUCAGUAAUAUAAAUGAAGGGGUAGUGAAAAUUUAUGGGAACAUUUAUAAGCUAACAGAACCCCAUGUCUUUUACCCCAUUCUAAUUCCAGACCACUAGAGAUUAGAAAAUUAUUCUCUGGGGUAUCUGACCACUUCCAGAGGAAAGACAUAAAGAUGCUGAUGUCGAGAAUGACCCAACUAAAUGGCCCAGCCAGAUGACCCAGUUGAAGCUGGUGGACAAGAAGUUUCAUUCAUGGAAUCAGAACUUCCAAUAAGCUGGGAAAACGGCAAUGGAUUAAUAACAAGAAAUUAAUGGUGAAGUGGUGACGAAAAUUCUACAUUGCUUAGAAAGCAAGUAAGAAAAUCAGUGGUUGUAGAGAAGUUCUUACAUGAAGUAAUAAAAAUAAAAAUUGUUAUGUUAAGCAUUUUCUAUUUUCUUUUCCUCCCCUCCAAAUGAAACAGCAUACUAUUCUGCAUGUUUUUCUACCUAACAAUGUAUCUUUUUAAUGACUCUUGUAUUUUAAACCUAAAAUUUUGAUUAAGCUUCACUUAAUAUUAAAAAAGAUAGUAUAGGUCACGAUGUUAUUUGAUGCAAACGUUGGAAAGACAGAAUCUUCUUGAUCCAAGAGCUUUUAGAAUUCAAAGUCUGAUUCUGGUUAUUACUCUGCUCAUUUAAGAUAGUGAAAUGAACAUUUACAUUCUGGCAACCUCAGAAGUACAACGAACAAAGGACACCAGCCAGGUAGGGCAAAGGCCUGUGAACCCCCUUUUGCUGUUAAAUGUUUAUCAGAUGAGUGCUCUGUUUCUGUUAUAUUAUAUUGCUUUUCUCUCCAAUGUUUACUGAGGAAGAACAAGUAGCUCCUCAGGCAAGUCAACUGUUAACUUUGCAGUUUUUAUUUAAUCUCCCAGGAAUGUAACCCUUAACUUUAAAGAAUGUAGUGACCAUAAAACUUAUAAAGCAUGUUUCUUAAGGAAAUUGUACCUGUUUAUUUAAUCUAUCAGAUAUGAAUGUUAUAGAAAAUUAAAUUUGUCCACUUAAGCUGUAGAUGAACUUUUCACCUUUCUGAUCAGAAAUUCACCAUCUUAUAGUAUAGGUUCUGUUAUUAAUCAGAAUAUUUCAUUUAGACUCUUUCUAUCCAACUUUUUCUUAGAGGCUAUUCAAAAUAAAGGUGCUUCUAACAGUUUCAUAUCGAAAUACGAUGCAAAGCCUUGCUCUUCCAUGGUAUCCUUUGAGUGAGCCAAACUUAUUUAGCCAUUCCCCUAUAGUUAAAUAGCUAGGAUGUUUCCAACAUCUCACCUUUAAAACAAUAGUGCUAUGAAUGUCAUAAAUGUUUGUAUAUGUAAAUAUGUAGGAUAAAUCCCUAUCAGUAGAAUUUCAAAAGGUAUACGCAAUCAGUAUUUUCAUACAUAUUUAAAAUUUUCCAUCCAUACAAAGGUUGCUAACAUAUUUAUUUAAAAUUUUAAAAAUAAUUUUAUAUGCCUCUUGUAACCAGUAAUAGGAUGCAAAGUUUUUUUUAAGGUAACAUUGCUCCUCUUCCCCCAUUGUCUCUGUCAUCUAUAGUACUCCCUGAGGUAGUUCAUGUUAUUGCAAGGGUGUGUAUCAUCACAAACAUAUUGCUUCCACAUACAUAUAUCAGCAUACAUAUAUAUAUAUGUAUAGCAUAUAUAUAUAUGAGCACAUAUUAAUAUAUGCCCAUGCACAUACAAGCAUGUUUUUGUUAAUUUUUACUGAAAUGGAAUCAUACUGCAUACUUAUGAACAAAUUGCUUCUUUCACCUUAUAUCACUUAUAAUUGUUAUUCUACAAAUCAGUACAUAUAAAAAAUACAUAUUUACAUAUGUAAUACUCUAUCUUUCUGUUAUAAUUUUCUGCAUGCACAUGUAUGCAUAUACAUAUAUUCAUAAACAUAAAACUUAAUCUAAACGGGAUUUUUUUUGGGGGGGGUGAUAUGGUUUGGCUGUGUCCCCACCCAAAUCUCAUCUUGAAUUCCCAUGUGUUGUGGGGGGACCCGGUGGGAGGUAAUUGAAUUAUGGGGGCAGGUCUUUCCUGUGCUGUUCUCGGGAUAGUGAAAAAGUCUCACAAGAUCUGAUGGUUUUAAAAAGAUGAGUUUCCCUGCAUAAUCUCUCUUCUCCUGUCUGGUUCCAUGUGAGAUGUGCCUUUUGCCUUCCGCCAUGAUUGUGAGGCCUCCCCAGCCAUGUGGAACUGCCCAUAGGUGGAAGGGACUUGCCUUGUCUCAGAUGAGACUUUGGACUUUGGACUGUGGACUUUUGAGUUAACACUGAAAUGAAUUAAUGCUGAAAUGAAUUAAGACUUUGGGAGACGGUUGAGAAGCCAUGACUCAUUUUAAAAU
rnacentral:lncRNA from 1 species